rnacentral:miRNA from 1 species
CUGUUAGGGACUUCCUCAGGGACAAUCUUUCACAAAGAUGAUGAAUAAAAAUACAUACAUACACGUUAUAUGUAUUUUUAUUCAUCAUCUUUGUGAAAGAUUGUCCCUGAGGAAGUCCCUAACAG